UACGUAGGGGGCAAGCGUUGUUCGGAAUUACUGGGCGUAAAGGGCGCGUAGGCGGCAGGCCAAGUCGGGAGUGAAAGCCCGGGGCUCAACCCCGGAAUGUCUUUCGAAACUGGCCAGCUGGAGUGCGGAAGAGGCAACUGGAAUUCCCAGUGUAGCGGUGAAAUGCGUAGAUAUUGGGAAGAACACCUGAGGCGAAGGCGGGUUGCUGGGCCGACACUGACGCUGAGGAGCGAAAGCCAGGGGAGCAAACGGG
rnacentral:rRNA from 1 species